rnacentral:misc_RNA from 1 species
CGAACUGCGAUAAGUAAUGUGAAUUGCAGAAUUCAGUGAAUCAUCGAAUCUUUGAACGCACAUUGCGCCCGCCAGUAUUCUGGCGGGCAUGCCUGUCCGAGCGUCAUUUCAACCAUCAAGCCCCCGGGCUUGUGUUGGGGACCUGCGGCUGCCCGCAGGCCCUGAAAACCAGUGGCGGGCUCGCUGUCACACCGAGCGUAGUAGCAAUCACCUCGCUCAGGGCGUGCUGCGGGUUCCGGCCGUUAAACAGCCUUACAAAACCCAAGGUUGACCUCGGAUCAGGUAGGAAGACCCGCUGAACUUAAGC